GGGAUGCAAGUAUAAAUAAAGGUGGUAUGACAUCAUGGCACCUAUUUCAUCAAUUGCUCUUCUUGGAUGAGAUGUUCAUGUGGGCGCCCACAUUCCUUGGUUAUAUAUGAGAAGAAGAUCAAUGCUGAACUUUCUAUACUUCUUGACAGGCGACAACUCAAGGAAUGGCAUCAAUAAUUGGAGGGAGGAAGGAUUGGUAUAAGCCUUCUCUCCAGAAAUAUUUUUUUUAAAGGACUGAAUAGAAAGGCCUUAAGCUUGAUGGAACACUUGCAUGAAGAUGUGAAGCAAAGGAUCUUUAGCACUGUCAAUCAA